UGAAUCAGCUCGACGAUUCCUCCACUGUUCCGCGGCUCGGCGAUCCUCCUCCUUUCCGCGGCUCGGCGAUAUCUCAUUUUUUUAAAUUUUUUGUAUGUCAGAACGAGUGUAGCAAUCUAUCUAUUUUUUUGUUCUUUGUCUAUCGUAUUGUCUCCGUAAAAAAAAAUUCUCCCAUGUUUGAUUUCAGUUCUCGUAUUUAUAAUGGGAGGGGUGGUGAGAGAUAUUUUGAGGGAUUCGAAAUUCGAAUUUGAAUUUUGAAUAGGUUGUUUGAUAGUUGGAGGUUUUUUUGGAAUUGGUUGGAGAUUCGAAAUUCGAAAUCGAAUUUUGAAUCGGUUGUUGGAUGGUUGGAAUUGGUUGGGAAUUCGAAAUUCGAAAUCCAAUUUUAAAUCGGUUGUUGGAUGGUUGGAGGAUUUUUGGGAAUUGGUUAGGGAUUCGAAAUUCGAAAUCGAAUUUUGAAUCGGUUGUUGGAGGAUAUUUUGGAAAUUGGUUAGAAAUUCGAAAUUCGAAAUUGAAUUUUGAAUGGGUUGUUGGAUGGUUAGGUAUUCAAAAUUCGAAUGAGAGAUAUUUUGGGUGUUGGUUCGAAAUUCGAAAUCGAAUUUCGAAUCGAAUUUGAAUAUGGUAUUCGAGAUUGAAUUUUUAAAUGUGGGUAAAAAUGUGGGCCGUUAUUUCAUGAAUUGGGCUGAAAUUGGGCCCACUUUGAUGAAACUUGUUGGGCACGAAUAUUCAUUGGGCUGAGAUGAGGCCCGAAUUUUUGUAUAGGCCUAAAAUCUUACAGGGCUUUUAUGAGGCCCAUUAAUUCACAUUUAUGAAUGGGCCUAUUGUGGAUUAAAAUCAUAAUUAUUGGCCCCAAGAUUUCUCGGUCAACAUGAGACCUUUUGGGAUUGUAUGAAUCCGAAUUUAAUCGGUUUUAAUUACUUUACCCAAUUUUUUUUUCACUUCAAACAAAUUACCCCCCACUUUUUCGACGUAAGAGUUUCGCGCGUCGAAAAGGUGCUCCUCUUUUCAUUC
rnacentral:lncRNA from 1 species